UAUAUGUAAAAUCUGGAGUUCUUAAUGCUGGAUGGGCGAGGAGCUCGUCUGUAUAUAUAUAUUCUUUCUAUAUAUAUCAUAGCACAAUAUGUAAAAUAUGCUAUAGUUUUGAGUGUGGUCUCCCAGGGCAUCCACCUUCGAAAGCAUGUUCCAGGACAUCUUCCAUUCGCUUUGCAAGUAGUAUCUCCAUCCCAGAAAGAACGGCAGACGGUACUUCAACCAAAUCCUUCAAAUUCCGUUCUGGCAA
rnacentral:misc_RNA from 1 species